rnacentral:lncRNA from 1 species
UUUCAUGUUGAUCAGUAGUGGAGCCCAUUUGGGACGAUCGGGGAUCUAGCAGUUGGGUUAUCUUCUUUUCUUUCGGCUUCGUCCGUAGUCGGACUAUGUGUGUGCUAUGCAUGAUGUAUGAAUUAUAUGUUCAUUGUGUGAAGUGGCGAUUGUAAGCCAACUCUUUAUCCCAUUCUUGUUCAUUACAUGGGAUUGUGUGAAGAUGACCAUUCUUGCAACAAAACCACCAUUCGGUUAUGCCUCUAAGUCGUUCCUCGACACGUGGCAGAUAUAGCCGCAUCGUGGGUGUUACAAGUUGGUAAUCAGAGCCAUCCCCGACUUAGGAGCCCCUGCUUGAUCGAAUUGCUGACAUUGUUGAGUCUAGAACAAAAAUGUUUUGAGUCUUAGGAUUAUAUAUAUCGGAGAGUAGGAUUCUUUUUACUCCUCAGUCCCUUCGAUGCUCUGGUGAGGCCUCCCGACGUAGAUGUUUUGUCUUUCCUCUCCUCAAUUUUCACUAAAAAAAUUUAGGAUCAUGCGUGUAUCUUGGGAUCGUUCUGAUAUUCUUGUGACGAGAACAUUGUUCUUGGUGCCUCCUGACAUUUAGGGGUUGUGGCAAUGUCCCGGCGAGUUGAGCUUCGAGGUGUUAUCGUCACUAUUUUAUUGUUGCAGUUCUGGAAUACCUGAGUUUUGCCGACAUUGAAAAUAUCUUUUAUGUAGCUAGUGGUAAGAUAACCUCGACGCCACCCAGUACUGGGGUGGGAGUUUGGGAGUAUUGCCAUAGCUAGUAUAACGGAUGCUUUUCAAAGGUUGAGGUACACGAUUUCAGUUUUCUUGGUUAUGUGUUGACGAAUGGAUACAGCUGGAUGUAGGGAUUGUUAGUUUGGGUGAGAUAUUUAUUGCUUCCCCUGUAUCCCCAACACCAGAAUGCAUAACCAGAAAGUUUUGGGAGUUUUAUAGGUGGGAAUUCAAGUAGCUCUUCUUUUUUUUCCAACAGAUGCAUGAUAUGAGAUUGGGGUUCGACGUCCAGUGGUCCGCCUAUCCAUGGUCGUUUUUACGAUGGUCUCGUUGUGUCUUAAGGAGUCAUUGGCUAUGCUGACUCGGGGACGCUUCGUAUGUCAUGUACACUGCCUUGUACAUGAUGGUGUUGUACGAUCGAGCCCGUGUGGGCCCCACCACGAAAACUUUGGACAAAAUCUCUAUCAUAUGUUUGUUUCCGGCUUAUUCUGCAAGCCAAAUCCUUUGUUUUGUUUUAUUUGUGGUAUUCGAGUUCCUUCGAUGUCAAGUGUUGAUCCAUACCUUCCCUAAAUGGUAUUCUCAUAUUUCUAUGGGAGUGCUAAUCCUUCUUGAUCAUUGAGGUUGUCAUGUUAAUUCUUUUCCAACAGGCGUGCUUCUCUCCAGGCUGAUACUAUCCAUUCCAUCUGCCCAAGUUGCCUUUGUUUUCCCGCCCUCCCACACAUUUUUUCUUCAAGGACUCAGAUUUAUUAAUCAAGUAUCCUUUUAUUGAUGGGAUGUCUCUCCAUUCAUUUCCGUCAAUGCUCUUAUCCAGUGAUUCUCAGGAAGAUACUAACGGAGCUUCAAGUUAUCAUUCUUCGUUCUCUUUUCUUCUCCGGUGGAUCCAAUUUAAGCUUUGUCAAGCAUAUCCUUUCCCCGUUUCAAAUGUUUUCCCAUGCCGGUGCACCUCUUAAUUUCCCACCUCUCUCUUCAUAUCCGAAGUGCCGAGGAUAUCUUAGAAGAUUUGUGUCUGCAUUAUCAAUCCAUUCAAGCUAUUUCGAGAUUAUUAUCUCAUUCAAGUCAUUUAAUUCAACCGGUGCAAUCCCCCCUUUCAAUCAAUCGUUUCAACGGUGUAUCUUUUUAGUGGGCCCUAACCCACUGGUCUUUUUCUAGGAUCUUACCUGACUCUUCUAAUUUUCCUGGAGCUAUUCUCAAAUUCAUUUCAAAGAUUGACUUAAGAAUGAAUUUUCAUCAGUCACAUGCCUUCUCCAAGGUCGCUUUCAAAUUCUUUUCAUCUUUGGCUCAACCUUUCAUCUUUCAAUCCUUCCGGAGUGCCUCAACAAUUCAGGGUGGUUCUCAUCUUCAUUCUCAACAUUUGAAGACCGAAGAAGGAUUUCUCUUAAGUCUUGCUCCAUUCUCUUCAAAAUUCAUGGUUCUAGAUUGAUGUCAUCCUCUCAUAAUUGUUUUCGAUUAUGAGAAUUAUUUUCACCCAUCUAGAGCAAUUCAGGAGUCCUUUCAGUUUGAUUCUUCGGAGCCCAUCAUCUCAGAAUUAUUCAUUCCAUCUUUUAGUUCUCGUUCUCCAAAUCUUACCGGUGCAUCAUUCAAAUACCCUCUAAUUAGUUCAUGAUCUCUUUGUUAUCUUGUAUCUAAAUUAUGUCAAGUAUCUUUAUUCAUUUUCUAAUUAUUCUUGGUGAAUUGUGCCUUUGCAACAUUCAUUUUCAAUUCUUACGGUGGUUCGUUCAAGAUUUCUCUUCCUUCGUUAUCGUAUCAAUUCAUCCAUUAUUUCAUUGUUUCAAUCCUACUGAUGGUUGUUGAAGACCUUACUCAAGUUUGGGCUAUAUCUCAAUCUUUAAUCAUUUUUCAUGAGAAUAAGUAGUAUGCCAAAUCCGUUGCUUGUCAUCAAUUUAAAUUGGUGAAGGAUACGCAUAACGUAAUUCUUAUUAUUGUUUCAUCCAAGUCAUCUAGUUUCUUCUUUCUAGAGUUGUUCAUCAUGUCACAUUUCUUUGUUCGAGAUGCUUCAUCUUUUCUUUUUCGGAGUUCCAAGUUUUUCGUGUUAUCUCGUCGUGAAGCUCCAUCUAAAUCAUCGCAAGGCUUCACCUUGUGUUUUCAACUUUCCUUUCAUUUGAUCAUUCUUUCAUUACUGAGGUUCUUCAUGCAGUCUCUAUAUGGUGGUUCGCUAAAGAUUUAACUCAUUCUCGAAGUGUUCUUCAAGAUUGUUCUUGGAAAAGCUCAAGUAUUCUUCAUCUUGCAUUCCAAAGUGCAAUUCCUUCUACCUUAUGUUUUGAGGUGGUGUUAUAUCAUUCUUGACAAUUUCCAUUCAUGUUUCGCAAUUCACAUGUUGUCAAGAAUGAUUUAUUUUAAAUCCAUUAAUCUCUUCGUUGGAGUUAUCUUGUGUCAUAUUUCACCUAAAGCCUUCCCUAAGGAAUGUUGCUAUUGUGAUGAUUAUCAAUGGUCCAAGUUAUCUCUCUAUGAUCUUGGUGGAAGAAGUUUUUCAUCUCGUUGGUGUUGUCAAUUAUAUUAUUUGUUUCCGUAGUGGCAGAAUUUUGCCUCAAUUUUGAGAAGUUUUCCAUAAGCCCACUACAAGCUUAUUCGUUUCAUUGUUGGUUUUCCAACAACUCUGUCAUAACCUUCUUGGAAGGGUGCUUUCCAAGCUCAUUUAUGGCAAAAGUUGGCAUUUUCUUCUCCAUUCUAUUAUUCCAAUGAUCUAUCUUCUAUUCUUUCUUCCGAAGGCAUUGUGAUGUUGCUCUCUUCACUCAUCAUCUCGAAUUGGGGAUCGUGUUCUUUUCAUCUUAUCAAGUCUUGGAUCUCUUUUCAACCAGAGUGAUGUCCGAAUUUGUUCUUCCCUGUUCCUUGUUUAUCUUGUUUCAACCAGAGUGGUUCCAAUUCCUUCUUGUCCAUUGUACUCGUCAUUCAUAGCUUUGCAACCUCCAAGGUUCAAAUGGUGUUCCUUGUUUCUAUUUUCUACCGCGGUGCUCUCAAUUGUGUUCAACUCCGUUGUGUUCUCUCUUUCUACUUAUAAACCUCUCAAGGUUCUUUGGUUUCACUCAUUGGUCGAAGAAGCAACUCAGUUUUACCUCUUCUCUUCUUCUUCCGUUUCUCUCCGGUGCCAUCCUUAGAUCUCGGGGCGAUAUCCUCUUGUAGUGGUGGAGUGUUGUAACACCCCAGAUGUAACUUUCCAUAACUGUAACCCCAACUCUUGCCAUUUCCAGCUAUGUGUUGUGAUAUUUCCUUCGUGGUUGGGUUUUUGUCUUUUGUUUUGCAUUUUUUUCGUGUCAUGCAGCUCAGCUCAUAGCAUCACGCGCAUUGCAUCGGCAUUGUUUUCUUAAAGCUUGCAUCCAUUCGUAGUUGCCGCGUUCCCCCCUUGCCUUCAUUGACCGAUCCGAGUCUAACCGGGUAUUCGAUUCCCUCUUGUCUGACCGUUUGACCCUCUCUACACUUUUGUCAAACCCUCGCGCGCGUUCAAAACCUUUCCCAAACCCGACCCGCCCAGUCAUCACUGAUGGGUCCGGAUCAUCCCCAAACAUAUAUAAAACAUCUCCGUUUUCUUAUUUGGACUCCCUAGCCUAUUUUUCUGUCCAUUCGAUUACGAUCGGAGGGACGAGAUAGCCCAUAGCGUAAUCCCAUGGCUUUAUAUACCCACCUAACCCUAAAACCUAGGAAAUCUGUCCCUUCCAUUCUGUGCCCGGCGCCGCCACCCACUCACUGUCUACAUCGGGAUCUUGCCCGAUCCAAUCCAACCAGCAGCCGCCACCCUCCUUGGAAUCCCCCUAUCAAAUCCAUCCAUCCAGCCUGCAGUAGUGCUUCCCCUUGGUGGCUCGAUCCCCUGCUCAUGCUCGAGCCCUCUUCCUUGAUCCACCAGGCGCUCAGCUCGCAUAGGAGAGGAGCUCCUCGAUCCCCUUGACACCGGCGCCCUGCUCCGGACCUCGACCUCGUCGCCCUCGACCGCGCUCGACUCGCCGGCGAGCCGUCAGCAAUGAGACCACCGCGACAAGGCCAGCCCUCGCCGCCCUUCUCCUUUCCUCCGUCCUUUCUUCCACCUCCCUAAUCUCUCUGCUCCCUCUCUGCCGCCAUGGACAAGGCUUUGACGCUGCCGUCCUCGUGCUGCAUCGCCAUGGCUACAACCCGAGUCCUUCGUUGCUCUAUCUGGACCAGGAGGGUCCCGAGCAUCUCCUCCGCCGCCCCGCCAUCUUCCUGGAAGCCGCAGCGCCCGAGCGCUCCUCUUCCUCGUGAAAUGCAGCUCCGGCGAACCUCACCGCUGGCGACCACCUCCCGCAGGCUCGUACCACCUCCUUCCUCCCUGUACCCCUUCUCUUCCUUCCCUUUUCUCUAAGCUCCAUCGCUUCCUCGUGUUUUCUUCGCACAGGAGCUCCAACCCCGGCCAUGGACACUCGUGCUUCCCCGUCGACCCUAUCGACUUGAACCCCACCGAAUCAGAUGCCUCGUCGUCCGCGCCGACGACCAAGCCGCCGCCCCGUUCCCACUGUUAGGACACCCGCUCCUCGCUAAGUCCCCUGCUUCGCCCACUCGUUCGAAGUCGAACAUGCUCGACGACCUCUCUCGCGCCGCCCUGCUCUGUUUAUCGUUGUCUCCAUCAGAUCUGACAAGGCCCUGCGUCCCAGCUUCCAGGUCAUCGUGUUGCCCCACCAGAGGCCACCAGCGCCAUCGUAGUCCCACGCCCCUGCUUCCCCUCCGUCCCCUGCUUCAGGUUGAGCAGUGCUCGCUGCCUCACUCGCGUCUCCGUGUCGACCACAACCCCGCGUUGACCAAGGCCCAGCGCGCCCCAACCGGCCCCGUCCAGCCUCGCGCCCUCUUGGGACCCCUCCUCCAAGUCGGCCCAGUUCCUUGGCCCAACGUGAACAGCUCCCCCAACGCCUCCUUUUUCCCCCUUCUGUUGGUCCCUAGUUUCGGCCGGUGUACUGUUUUUUCAGUUCUGCGAAUUUGUCUAAUUCUAGAGAAUUACAUAUUUGCAGAAAACCCCCUGAACUUCAUGCAUACAAUAGCUCAUUAUCCAUGCAUCGGUUUAAAACAAUUUAUAUAUGAAAAGUGCUUAGAAUUUCAUCUAGUUCCAUAUUUUGCAACUCUCAUCCAUGUUUAAAAUGUUUAAGUUGUUUUUUGCAUUUGUUUUGCAUAAUGACAUGCUAAAAUGGUUUAUUUCAUAACUAAAUAACCGUAGCUCCAUUUUAAAUAAACUUUAUAUGAAAAUGGGGUGGAAUAAUGCAUAGAUUAACAUGGUGCACUUUGAUUUACUGUUUAACAACAUUAAAAUAUGUUUUAGGGCAGAACAGUACCAAAUUCGAAAUAUGGACAUGAUGAUUUUCUGGACUUGUUGUUUGUUGUUCCGGCCUCAUUUAAACUUGCCUAGAUAGGUAGUUUUAUUAUGCCUCACCGCUUGCCAUGUUUAAUAACAUUUAAUAUUGUUUGGUACAUAAUCGAGAGAGAACUAAAUAAUUGAUGUGGAGUUUCGGCAAUAUGCAACUCGUUGCAUAUUGAGCUCCACUGAAUUUGUAGUGUUGUUUGUUGCACUUUGCCAUGCCAUGCAUAUUUAAACCGGACAUGCAUCAUACUCGAAUGUGCAUCAUGGCAUGUUUAUGCUUGUGCAUUUACCAUGUUGUUUGCUUCUUUCUGGUGUUGCUUCUUAGUUCCGGUAACAUUGCGAUUGUGAGGAUCCAUUCAACUAUGUUGGUUCGUCUACUUCAUGGAUUCGGUCUUCUUCCUAGCAGAAUCUCAGGCAAGAUGACCAUUACCCUCGAUAUCACUUCUAUCUUUGCUUCCUAGUUGCUUCAUUCUAUCCCUAUGAUGUGCUACCUAUCACUUGUUUACCAUGCCUCCCAUAUUGCCAUGUCAAGCCUCUAACCCACCUUUCCUAUCAAACUGUUGUUUGGCUAUGUUACCGCUUUUGCUCAGCCCCUCAUAUAGCGUUGUUAGUUGCAGGUGAAGUUGAAGAUUGCUCCAUGUUGGAACAUGUUUAUGUUGGGAUAUCACAAUAUCUCUUAUUUAAUUAAUGCAUCUAUAUACUUGGUAAAGGGUGGAAGGCUCGGCCUUAUGCCUGGUGUUUUGUUCCACUCUUGCCACCUUAGUUUCCGUCAUAGCGGUGUUAUGUUCCUUGAUUUUGUGUUCCUUACGCGGUCGGUUUUAUGGGAACCCCUUGAUAGUUUGCUUUGAAUAAAACUCCUCCAGCAAGACCCAACCUUGGUUUUACAUUUUCCUAACAACCUAAGCCUUUUUCCCUUUGGUUUCCGGAGCCUGAGGGUCAUCUUUAUUUACCCCCCGGGGCUAGUGCUCCUCUGAGUGUUGGUCCAACCUGGGCGAUGUCCGGCGCCCCCUGGGCAACCAGGGUCUAUGCCAACCCGACGUCUUGUCCAUCCGGUGUGCCCUAACAAUGAUAUACGUGCGACUCCUAUCGGGAUUUGUCGGCACAUCGGGCGGUCUUGCUGGUCUUGUUUUACCAUUGUUGAAAUGUCUUGUAACCGGGAUUCCGAGACUGAUCGGGUCUUUCCGGGAGAAGGAAUAUCCUUCGUUGAUCGUGAGAGCUUGUGAUGGGCUAAGUUGGGACACCCCUGUAGGGUAUAAACUUUUGAAAGUCGUGCCUGCAGUUAUGUGGCAGAUGGGAAUUUGUUAAUGUCUGGUUGUAGAGAACUUGACACUUGACUUAAUUAAAAUGCAUCAACCGCGUGUAUAGCCGUGAUGGUCUCUUUGAUUGUGUGUAAGUAGUUUCAGGAUCACUUAUUGAUCACUUCUAGCUUCUCGACCGUUCAGUUGCUUCUCUUCUCGCCCUUAUUUGCGUAUUUUAGCCACCAUAUUUCUUAGUGCUUGCUGCAACUCUCCUCAUUACCACUUCCUAUCCAUAAGCUUAAAUAGUCUUGAUCUUGCGGGUUUUGAGAUUGCAGAGUCCUCGUGACUCACCAGAUACUAUCACAAUAGUUGCAGGUGCCGAUGAUACCAGUGCAGGUGAUGCAACCAAACUUAGUUGGGAGCUCAACGAAGAUCUUGGUUGCUGCUAUGUUUCGUUUCAUGUUGAUCAGUAGUGGAGGCCAGUUGGGACGAUCGGGGAUCUAGCAGUUGGGUUAUCUUCUUUUCUUUCGGCUUCGUCCGUAGUCGGACUAUGUGUGUUCUUUGCAUGAUGUAUGAAUUAUUUGUUCAUUGUGUGAAGUGGUCACUGUAAGCCAACUCUUUAUCCCAUUCUUGUUCAUUACUUGGGAUUGUGUGAAGAUGACCCUUCUUGCGACAAAACCACCAUGC